AGAGUUUGAUCCCGGCUCAGGAUAAACGCUUGCGGUGUGCUUUAUGCAUGCAAGUCGCACGAUUUUGAGUAAUCGGAAUAGUGGCAAACGGGUGAGUAACACGUAAGUAACCUGCCCUUAAGUGGGGAAUAAUCUUUCGAAAGAAAGACUAAUACCGCAUGUGGUCCUUGACCGCAAGGUUAAGGACUAAAGCCGUAAGGUGCUUGAGGAGGGGCUUGCGUCCGAUUAGCUAGUUGGUAGGGUAACGGCCUACCAAGGCAGUGAUCGGUAGCUGGUCUGAGAGGAUGACCAGCCGCACUGGGACUGAGACACGGCCCAGACUCCUACGGGAGGCAGCAGCAAGGAAUAUUGCGCAAUGGGCGAAAGCCUGACGCAGCGACACCGCGUGGGGGAUGAAGGACUUCGGUUUGUAAACCCCUUUUCUUAGGGAAGAAUAAUGACGGUACCUGAGGAAUAAGUCACUGCCAACUACGUGCCAGCAGCAGCGGUAAUACGUAGGUGACGAGCGUUAUCCGGAUUUAUUGGGGCGUAAAGCGCGUGUAGGCGGCCUUUCAAGUCGGAUGUGAAAUCUCCCGGCUUAACUGGGAGGAGUCAUUCGAUACUGUUUGGCUAGAGGGCAACAGAGGGAGGUGGAAUUCCCGGUGUAGUGGUGAAAUGCGUAGAUAUCGGGAGGAACACCAGUGGCGAAAGCGACCUUCUAGGUUGUUCCUGACGCUGAGGCGCGAAAGCGUGGGGAGCGAACACGAUUAGAUACCGUGGUAGUCCACGCCUUAAACUAUGAACACUAGGUAUGGGGGGUAUCGACCCCCUCCGUGCCGAAGCUAACGCGUUAAGUGUUCCGCCUGGGGAGUACGGCCGCAAGGCUAAAACUCAAAGGAAUUGACGGGGGCCCGCACAAGCAGCGGAGCGUGUGGUUUAAUUCGAUGCAACACGAAGAACCUUACCAGGACUUGACAUGACGGAAGUAGUGAACCGAAAGGGGAACGACCUGUUAAGUCAGGAGCCGCCACAGGUGCUGCAUGGUUGUCGUCAGCUCGUGCCGUGAGGUGUUAGGUUAAGUCCUGCAACGAGCGCAACCCUCGUCGCUAGUUGAAUUUUUCUAGCGAGACUGCCCUGCAAAACGGGGAGGAAGGUGGGGAUGACGUCAAAUCAGCACGGCCUUUAUGUUCUGGGCGACACACACGCUACAAUGGGUAGGACAAUAGGUUGCAAUAGAGCGAUCUGGAGCUAAUCCAUAAACCUACCCUCAGUUCGGAUUGCAGGCUGAAACCCGCCUGCAUGAAGCCGGAGUUGCUAGUAACCGUGUAUCAGCAUGGCGCGGUGAAUACGUUCUCGGGCCUUGUACACACCGCCCGUCACGUCAUGAAAGUCGGUAACACUUGAAGUCGAUGGGCUAACCCGCAAGGGAGGCAGUCGCCAAGGGUGGGGCCGGCGAUUGGGACGAAGUCGUAACAAGGUA
rnacentral:rRNA from 1 species